UGGGCCAGACCUGCCAGG
rnacentral:misc_RNA from 1 species